rnacentral:misc_RNA from 1 species
GAUGAAGAACGCAGCGAAAUGCGAUAAGUAAUGUGAAUUGCAGAAUUCAGUGAAUCAUCGAAUCUUUGAACGCACAUUGCGCCCGCCAGUAUUCUGGCGGGCAUGCCUGUUCGAGCGUCAUUACAACCCUCAGGCCCCCGGGCCUGGCGUUGGGGAUCGGCGGAGCCCCCCGUGGGCACACGCCGUCCCCCAAAUGCAGUGGCGGUCCCGCCGCAGCUUCCAUCGCGUAGUAGCUAACACCUCGCGACUGGAGAGCGGCGCGGCCACGCCGUAAAACACCCAACUCUUCUGAAGUUGACCUCGAAUCAGGUAGGAAUACCCGCUGAACUUAAGCAUAUCAACAAGCGGAGGA